rnacentral:lncRNA from 1 species
UAUAUAGAGCGAGGCUACCAUGCUUCUGGAAGCACGGAGCCUCCCGUGCUUUUAGGUCGUUUUUCAUGUUGCGACUUUCGAAUCGUCGAUCGGCUCCGUUAAACUUGAUCUAGAGUAUUUGAAAUAUCUAGAAAAUAAAUUAUGCGAUUUUUUAAUAUUAUUUGCCUAGUGAAUGAAGGGGCUCAAAAUUAACUGCUGAAAAUAAAAAUCUUAUAAUACUUGAUAAUAUGAUAUUAAAAUUUUAGAUCAAAGAUAUUGAUCUUGUUUUAUAUAGUAUAAAGAAUUUUUUAUCAAAAUUUUACGUAAUUUGGAUAUUUCUACACCGUUAAACUUGCAAAUGGCUCACUACGGCCUUUAAAAUUAUUGAUUUUGAGCCCCCUUCGAUCAUUAGGCAAAUGAUAUCAAAAAUCAUAAAAUUUAUUUUCUAGGUACUUCAAAUACUCUAGAUCAAGUUUAACGGAGCCGAUCGACGAUUCGAAAGUUGCAACAUCGAAAACGACUUGAAAACACGGAAGGCUCCGUGCUUCCAAAAGCAUAGUAGCCUCACUUAUAUAUAUUUAUAUAUAUAUAGUAGGUUUCCUACGUUUUCAAAAGUAUGGAAGCUCUCGUAUUUGUAAGGUAUUUUAUGAUGAUAAGACAUUCGAUUCAACAAUUGGCUCCGUUAGGUAUGAUUUAUCCUAUUAAGAAA